rnacentral:lncRNA from 1 species
GCUGUCACCACCACCACUCCUGCAGCAGCUGUCACCACCACCACUCCUGCAGCAGCUGUCACCACCACCACUCCUGCAGCAGCUGUCACCACCACCACUGCUGCAGCAGCUGUCACCACCACCACUCCUGCAGCAGCUGUUACCACCACCACUCCUGCAGCAGCUGUUACCACUCCUGCAGCAGCUGUCACCACCACAACUCCUGCAGCAGCUGUUACCACCACCACUCCUGCAGCAGCUGUUACCACUCCUGCAGCAGCUGUCACCACCACCACUCCUGCAGCAGCUGUUACCACCACCACCACUCCUGCAGCAGCUGUCACCACCACCACUCCUGCAGCAGCUGUUACCACCACCACUCCUGCAGCAGCUGUUACCACUCCUGCAGCAGCUGUCACCACCACAACUCCUGCAGCAGCUGUUACCACCACCACUCCUGCAGCAGCUGUUACCACCACCACUUCAACCAUUUUCGCUGUUGUUGCAUCAACUGACCCUCCAUCUUCUAGUGAAGGAACCCUGAAGGUUCAGUUCAGUCUCAACCAGACGUUCAACUCAGAUCUUUCCAACCCGUCGUCUUCAGCAUUCAAGAAUCUGGCUGCCAAAGUGCAAUCUGACGUGAACAAGGUUUUUGCUGGGACGCCAGGAUUCCGUCAUUGCAUUGUCAACUUAUUCAGGAAUGGGAGUGGAUCUGUAGUUACUGACAUGACCCUCGUGUACGACAAGCAGUCUUCGGUUCCCAGCUCAAGCAGCGCACAGACAAUUCUCACCAACAGUUCCACCUCCCUGAACAUUCUACCAGGCAGCAUCAGUGUUGUGUCAGGAAGUGCUCCCCGACCCACUGCCUUCGCUCUGGCUGCUUUGGCUCUGUUAAUGGUACAGCUGCUAGGCUAGCUAAUAGCCUGGGGCAUAGCUGCUGUGGCUCUGCUAGCUGCUGUGGCUCUGCUAGCUAACCAAUAGCCUGGGACAUAGCUGCUGUGGCUCUGCUAGCUGCUGGCUAACCAAUAGCCUGGGACAUAGCUGCUGUGGCAUUGGUUUAACCAAUCAACGGUUUCCCAUCUCUCAUAGGAUUCUAGCUUUUAGUUGCUACACCCAUUUUUUGACUUAUAAAUUAUAUCUUCCCAUUGAUUCUAGAAGAAUAUAACAUAUGAAUGCCUCAUGAGUUUAGCUCAACUGUCCUACCUCAUCAGAACCCAAAAUAUAAACUUGUUUUACUCCAAUGUUUCUAAACAAUGCUAACAAACACUGUAUAAUUUUAAAACAUUAUUAAAACUAUAAUUCUGAUAUCAUGGAUGGUCAGUAUUUGCAUGCAUAGCUCUGUCUAUUUUAUUUUAACUAGGCAAGUCAGUUAAGAACAAAUUCUUAUUUAUAAGACUUGCCUAGUUAAAUAAAAAAAUGAAGAGCUGUUUAAAUUGACCUAAAGCGGACAUUGGCUGCACGAAGACGCAUUAACAGAAAUCCCAUGUAGCCUUGUUGGAACACUGGAAUGCGAGAUGUAAUCAACACCUCGAUUAGGUUGAUAAUGAUAAUCAUUUUAAUGAUUUUACAAAAUUGAGCGUCAAAUAUUUUCUAUAUAACCUACACACUUGCCUCGUUGUGAACUUGUAACACGAGUAGGGCCGGUGUACUUUUCGUGAUGAAGAGCUGCUGCUUACCGAUUUGACAGCUGAUUUGGAUCAGCUACACCUCCGACAGUACCAAAACCCUAGCUGUCGGCUACCUCUGGUUAACAGCUGAUUUGAUGGAAGCUAGGGCCUUUAUCUUUCAAGUUACUAUAAUUAUUAUUAUUAUUACUAUUAUUUCAAGUUACUAUUAUUUAACACUUAUAGGUUCUCACAGACAUCAAUUCAUGAUGUAUUCACACUUGCACACUAUUUAUCAGUCAAAUUUUUAUACUGAAAAUAACUAAAAGAAACAACAACUUUCCUAUUGUACAAUUUUUUAAUUUUUAAAUGUUUUAUUUGAUCAUAGUUCCCUCUUUAAUUAUUAACUAUAUUUAAAUUUAAAUUCACCAGGACCGGGAUGAUAUUUACUUUGAGUUAUUUUGGGCAUGUCACUGAAAAUGUGGACCACUACAAUGUUUUAAAACUGUUGAAGAGCCUCGCCUGGUUUGUACUUGUCUUGUUAUUAAUAAAUCUAAUAUAUUACGUAACACUCAAGAAUGUAGAUAUGACAUUUCUUUCAUUAGUGUUGGAAUAUAAUGACAUGUCAAAAUCAUUCUAGGGGUAAAUCUCAAUAGUUUGGUCUAAUAUGUACUUUGUACAAUUAGUUUGUUUUUUAAAUGUUUUUCUUUGAUCUAGUUCCCUCUUUAAUUAUUAACUGCUGUAACUAUAUUUACAUUUAAAUGUGUUAUUUUGGGCAUAUCACUGAAGUGUCUGAGGGACUAAUGUGGACCACUACAAUGUUUUAAUACUGUUGUAGAGCCUCGUCUGGUUUGUACUUGUCUUGUUAUUAUUAAAUCUAAUAUAUUAUGUAACACUCUUAGAAUAUAGAUAUGUCAUUUGUUUUCAUUACUGUUGGAAUGUAAUUAUUUUUUGGGUCGCAUGCAAAAUCAUUCUAGGGGUACAUCUCAAUCUAGUCUAAUAACAUUCCCCUUUUCCACUUUUUUGGUUACUAUAUGAUUCCAUAGUUUUGAUGUCUUCACUAUUAUUCUACAAUGUAGAAAAUAGUAAAAAAAAUAAAGAAAAACCCUUGAAUGAGUAGGUGUGUCCUGUCAUGACGUUGCCCUCUUUGGACACAGCGAGCACCAUCCCCCCCCUACCUCUGCACCAUCUCUCUCUGUCUCCUACACCCAGGCUGCUGUGGUCAGAGAGGUCGUAAAUUCCUGGAGGAGAUCCUCUCCUCAUGGCCACAGUAGAGAGUGAGUUUUCAAAGAGAGAACAAAAGGAUUUUCUUCCACCUCACAGAACUAGAGGUCCGGACGAAAUAUUUUUUGUUCUGGAGAAUGUAGAAAAGAUCGGUGAAGAAUCCAGCUACGAACUGGUCCGUUACGUACAAUUUUGUGAAGCUCAUUAAGAGACAAUACGGCCACAUUACCAUAACGCUGUUUAUACAAUAGCUUCAGUUAUGAGGCUUACAUCUAAUUGUUGUAUAAAAUGAAUAAGUAAAGAUGAUACUAUUUGUGAAAUGACGUGAUGCUAAUGUGAGA